GACGAACGCUGGCGGCGUGCUUAACACAUGCAAGUCGAACGGAAAGGCCCUGCUUUUGUGGGGUGCUCGAGUGGCGAACGGGUGAGUAACACGUGAGUAACCUGCCCUUGACUUUGGGAUAACUUCAGGAAACUGGGGCUAAUACCGGAUAGGAGCUCCUGCUGCAGGGUGGGGGUUGGAAAGUUUCGGCGGUUGGGGAUGGACUCGCGGCUUAUCAGCUUGUUGGUGGGGUAGUGGCUUACCAAGGCUUUGACGGGUAGCCGGCCUGAGAGGGUGACCGGCCACAUUGGGACUGCGAUACGGCCCAGACUCCUACGGGAGGCAGCAGUGGGGAAUAUUGCACAAUGGGCGGAAGCCUGAUGCAGCAACGCCGCGUGCGGGAUGACGGCCUUCGGGUUGUAAACCGCUUUCGCCUGUGACGAAGCGUGAGUGACGGUAAUGGGUAAAGAAGCACCGGCUAACUACGUG
rnacentral:rRNA from 1 species